AAGAAGUUAACGGCAUUUGCUCGGCCUCAUUCGGUCUGGUCAGCUAGGUGAGGGCGCUGGUUCGAUUACGGUGUCGAGCUUUACAUCUUAUUUUCGAUCAUGAAUUUGUGCUGCUUGCAAGCCUGGAAAUGUCAUAGCCACAACUGUUAUCCAAGGAAAGUGGAGAUGAACAAACUGCCAUAUGAGGUGUUGCGUUAACAGCCAAUGCAUGAGCAUGCUUCCCAAGAAGUUGACGUAUUCUAUUUAGUUGACUGUAGACCCACUGACCAGGACAGAUGGUCGCUAGUGUGUUUGGAUAAACUGACAUGGACUUUUGGCAGUGCAUUGUGAUGACAUGGACUAUUGUUGGCAGUGCAGUGUGAUGGAUGUCUUUCACCACAGCACGACUGACUGCGGCCCCACAAUUGGGGUUGAUUCUGGUGGAGUCCACUUGCAUAACCCCUUGCAACCACAAGAGGCCACAAGGCACAUGUAAGAUGACGAUCUGGAGGGCACUUGGAAUUCCAGAAAUGGUCUAAAUACUGAAGCUGUGGCAUGGCAUGUCAAUAGACCUUGGAAAUUUGCCUGUUAUGGGGAGGAGGCUACUGUGCCGAAGAUGAUGUUCCUGUAUAAAUGGAUGCUGCCAUGAAAGCUGCAGAAACGUUUCUGCCAGGAAAAGUAUGGCAAGCCACGCUACAAAUCCUGGCCCAGACAGUUGCCACCAAUCCAGUCAAGCUGCGCCAGCCAAAGCAAAUAUCAGUCAUAUUGUACAGUUGCGCUAUCAAGUCAGGUUGCGAUACCAUUCAGAUGGGUUGUGUGUAUCAAAAGCUAAAAGUGCCACAAGACAACUCUUAUUUGCAUUUUUUUUACAUUAAAAAGUCUAUCAAAAAUGGUUUUCAUGGUGCUCAUGAUAUACAUGAAAACGCCUUUUUUUUUUUACAGCAUGUUUAAGUAGGUUUUUUUUAUUAUUUGUGUAGCACUACCUUUGUCAGACAGUGCUUGACAGGGCAGUAAAACAGACAACAAAACACUACAUGGUUAAAUGAAAAUCUUUAUGAAUAGUCAUAAGGAUGAGAAGGGUCCUGCACCCUUAUGUUUUUGAAGUAUUUUCUCUAAAAUUUUAAUAAGGACAAUCUGAAUCAGUUUUACUAGAACGGUGUUUUUCACACAUUGGAUCCCAAGAUGCAAAUGCAUAAAAAAAAAUUCUCCCAUUGCUACAACUCUUGAGUUGUAGCAAUUAAGUUCUCAGAUAAUAAGCUGAAAUAUUUGGUGGAGUCAGCAGAGUUCUAAUUAAACACAACACGUCUGUGAUUGUUUCAAAGUGUUUGUUUUGCAUGGCCAGUAAGUUCUCUAACCUAACAGUGAAGAGUAAAAGCAAUGCAUCGAAAGGUGCUUGCUGUUGUUUGGCUGUAAAUGUGUUGUCUUUAUGAAUUGUACUGUACUCCAGAGGACUGUGACGGCAAAUAAUCCUCUUUUGGACAAUAUCCCUGAGUGCAUUUCAGCAUUCACAAUCAAAUAAGUUAUUAGUAUAUCUAGAAAUGAACAAUCACCAGACAUUCAUGUCCAUGGAUGGCACUCCCAUUAUUAAAGUUUUUACAGUCCAAAAUGAAAUCCAACUCUUUGUAAUUUAUUAAAAGCUGCAGUAUUUUAUAGUAAUGAGUCCAGCCCAUGAAUUGCUCUGUAGGCUGGCUGCAGUUUCCUUUUAAGUGGCUUAAAGGAUUAUUUUGUGUACUUCAAUCUUAGAAGGGAACAUUUUUUAACUUACUUGCAACAAAGGUAUAAUUGUCAUACAAAAACGGCAAAAAGCAGUUUUGUACAACCCAGGGGAGUCCAAAGUCCUGUCAUUGUGUGACUGAGUUAAAAUAAAAUGU